rnacentral:tRNA from 1 species
GGGUUUAUAUUGUAAGUAGCAGCAUUUCUUUUUUGCAYGAAGAAAGUUUUAUAAUCCA